GUCUAUGGCUGUACCACCCUGAAUGCACCUGAUCUCGUCUGAUCUCAGAAGCUAAGCAGGGUCGGGCCUGGUUAGUACUUGGAUGGGACCGCCUGGGAAUACCGGGUGCUGUAGGCU
rnacentral:rRNA from 1 species